rnacentral:rRNA from 1 species
AAAUUGAAGAGUUUGAUCAUGGCUCAGAUUGAACGCUGGCGGCAGGCCUAACACAUGCAAGUCGAACGGUAACAGGAAGCAGCUUGCUGCUUUGCUGACGAGUGGCGGACGGGUGAGUAAUGUCUGGGAAACUGCCUGAUGGAGGGGGAUAACUACUGGAAACGGUGGCUAAUACCGCAUAACGUCGCAAGACCAAAGAGGGGGACCUUCGGGCCUCUUGCCAUCAGAUGUGCCCAGAUGGGAUUAGCUUGUUGGUGAGGUAACGGCUCACCAAGGCGACGAUCCCUAGCUGGUCUGAGAGGAUGACCAGCCACACUGGAACUGAGACACGGUCCAGACUCCUACGGGAGGCAGCAGUGGGGAAUAUUGCACAAUGGGCGCAAGCCUGAUGCAGCUAUGCCGCGUGUAUGAAGAAGGCCUUCGGGUUGUAAAGUACUUUCAGCGGGGAGGAAGGUGUUGUGGUUAAUAACC